AAGUAAAUGCAUGCUCUCGAUGUUUUCUGCUUGGCGUGAGGGAGAAAGGCGAUAGAGAAAUGGCGGAGUCAAGGGUUAGGGAUGAAGUCGGAGAGCAGCCAGGGAUAGCGUUAGGGUUUGGGAAAGAGGACAAAGAGAAAGAUAAUGGGGUGGAUGAUUUGAGGCCAUGGGAGCAGCACUCGGCCGUUAUCAGCAUCCCUCGCUACGAUUACAAGGCUCCAUCCUCGCUUAUUGAACGCUCCCGCUCCGGGUUCCUCAUUACUUGCCCAAUCAAGCGUGAAAAAAGUGCCACUAAGGAAGCUAUUCCCAUUUUAGAAGAGCAUAUGUCCUCUGUUUGCGUUGAUGACUCUGAGAGAUCUGACUCAUGCGGCAGCAAUGUGGUUGCAAAAAGGAGGAAAACUUGUUCUCAGGAUGCUGACAAUCUUGACAGUUUAGAACAAAAUACAGAUGCCAAUUUAUAUGCAGUUUCUUGUAUUUUACCGCUAAAUUUAAUAAGUGACAAUACAGAAGUGGCCACUUCACCUCCAUUUGCAGAAGAAAAUGCGAAAAAAAAUCCAAAUUUAUCUUUGGUUAAAUUGACGAGGAGUGGAUUACUUCUUUUCACUUUGCCUAGUUUAAACUAUCAACUUGUCAUUGAUAAAUUGUCAAAUAUAUUUCGUUCCUUGGGCUCUGGACAUCAGAAACCACCCAUCUGGUGCCACCGCAUACUUCCUAUUCAAGAAACUUGUUGCUUGACAGAGAAGGACGUACAGGCAGUUGUAACUAGGCUUGCACAGUGGUAUUUUAGCUGUCAAUUUGACAAACCCCAAAAAUCAAUUAAGUUUGCAGUUGGUUUUAACAGAAGAGGCAUUGAGGAGACAGAGUUGAAGAAUAAGAACUGCAUUGCUCUGUUGGAAAGGAAUAAAUGUUUCAGUGUUGUGGCUGGAGCAUUUAAAAAGGUUGUGGAAAAUUCUGUUGUGGAUCUGAAUUCUCCUGAGGUAGUGAUACUGUUGGAAUUAUUGCCUCUUUCCGGCUUACCACCUGAGUCUUUAUUGGUUGGUGUGUCAGUACUUCCAUGUGAAUUUGUCCUCACAAAGCCGAGACUCGCCAUUAAACCUCUGGCCAUUAAUGCAGAAAGAAACAAAGGCAAAGCGUCAGAUCUAAAUCAUCGCCCCCACCAUUAGUUCCUUCUAUCCUCGCAUUUAUUGUAGCAAGCACAGAUUUUGGUUCUUUUUAUUCAUCAUUCGCUCUCUGCAUUUGUUCUAUGCAAUCUUCAUAGCAACCGAGCAGACAAAAGGGGAGCCUCAACGUGUUUGCUGUGCAAAAACUAAUAAGUCAAUUUUGAAUUUUGUGAUGACAUUUUUGAAGGCAAUGAUGGUCUCCAGUAAAAUAGCUUUUGUUGAUCUGAUCUGAGGGGGAGGGGGGGAAAGGCUUUAAAUGCUUCAAAGGAGAGACAGUUGCUUUUCCAGUUCUUUGCAGUGCGCCUCUUUUUAUGGGAACAGUUUCCUGAAAUAGACCUAUCGCUGCACUUUAUGUGUGUUCUUUCUAUUUCAAUGAGAAGCUUCAUGUGAAAGAAGUAAUGGAGAUUUAGCUGUAUUGAAUGCUUAAUUACUUGGAAGAAUUUGGCUUUGAGCUAUUUGUGGGAAUCUUUUGUGCUCUCUCACAAUUAGAAAAUGUCAUGAGAGCCUCUGUAAAACUUUUAUUUGCAGUUUU